rnacentral:rRNA from 1 species
UACAGAGGUCUCAAGCGUUGUUCGGAUUCAUUGGGCGUAAAGGGUGCGUAGGUGGCGCUGUAAGUCAGGUGUGAAAUUUCGGAGCUUAACUCCGAAACUGCAUUUGAUACUGCGGUGCUUGAGGACUGGAGAGGAGACUGGAAUUCACGGUGUAGCAGUAAAAUGCGUAGAGAUCGUGAGGAAGACCAGUGGCGAAGGCGGGUCUCUGGACAGUUCCUGACACUGAGGCACGAAGGCCAGGGGAGCAAACGGG